CCUCCAGGGAGAGUGCAUGGCUUGGGAAUUGCGUUCGGGCAUGAUUUGGACUACAUUUACCCCUGGCCAAGCCACAUUGAGUCUGCAUGGGAACCUGCAAAUGCACUAAACGCACCACCAGGUCGAGGAUAGGAGGACCCUGAAGAUGUACUUGUUUUCCCAGGCCUUCAACUGUGAUUUGAUUUUUAUAUUUUAAUAUGUUUUAAACAUGUUUUUAUCUAUAAUUUUUAUCUUUAAUGAAUUUUUUAAAUGUUAUAUUAUAUAUUUUAAUUCUGUACACUGCCUAGAGAUUUUUAUACUAGGUGGUAUAGAAAUUUAAUAAAGAAAGAAAGAAAGAAAGAAAGAAAGAAAGAAAGAAAGAAAGAAAGAAAGCAGAGGUGACACUCGGACACCUGGCACAGUGGCAGGGCAGCAUCACCCCAGACAGACUAAGGAGGAUUUGGAGGCCCUCGACUUUGGCCCCGAAGUCCAGGGAGAGGAGCACCUCUGGAUCCUGUUAAGAACAAUGACAGAUUUUUGGUGAGUGUUUGAUCCUAAAUUGACAAAAUGAGCCAUUUUCACCUAGGUAAAGCCAUUCUGUGGAGGCUUGCUGGAGGGCCUUAUUUGUGCACCUGUUGUUAUGCACUCUGUGGAUGGCCUUUGCUUCAUCCCUCCCCAGUCACAACAAAACCAGGCAUGACAAUGAGCUCUUCGGCUUCUGACUUGUUUUGCAUUGGGAGGGGGUGAGUGAGAGUGAAGUGGUAUAAAAGAGGCCUGAAAGAGGGUUCUCAGAGUAGAAGGGAAAGGCAUGGAGUGGACACCACUGCAGCAUAAAAACAUCAGGGAAGGAAAUCUCUUUUGUGCAAGCUGUAUUCCUGGAGAGAGAGGAACUGUUUUAUAUUUUAAAGCUAUUCUUUGUACUUUGAAACUGCUACUGUAUUUUGGAAACUGAACCUCUACUUAAGUGUGUGCCCUGUCUUAAUGUCCAUGAUUGAGCAUUGAUUCUUUUUUAUUUUUGCAAUAAAAGAGAUAUUA